rnacentral:rRNA from 1 species
CGGUCCUACGGGGGGCAGCAGUGGGGAAUAUUGCACAAUGGGGGAAACCCUGAUGCAGCGACGCCGCGUGAGUGAAGAAGUAUUUCGGUAUGUAAAGCUCUGUCAGCAGGGAAGAAAAUGACGGUACCUGACCAAGAAGCCCCGGCUAACUACGUGCCAGCAGCCGCGGUAAUACGUAGGGGGCAAGCGUUAUCCGGAUUUACUGGGUGUAAAGGGAGCGUAGACGGCAAGACAAGCCUGGAGUGAAAGGCGGGGGCCCAACCCCCGGACUGCUCUGGGAACUGUCUGGCUGGAGUGCAGGAGGG